rnacentral:lncRNA from 1 species
UGGUUUUAACGUAUUUUAAGUGUGCACUUUUUAGCAAUGAGGAGUAGUACCUUUUAAUAGAUGAAGUAAGUUGCGAGCAGCUAGGAAUGCAGGGAUAUGGAUUGAACACCAUAUAUCCAACUGGAUGCAUUAAGGAUUCCAUACUUCCAGAAAAGUUGGCUUCGGACCUGAAAUACAUAUAGCCUUCAGUUUUCUUGAAGAAAUAGGUUUCAUUUGCUACGCUAGGAGCAUUAAUCUGUACCCUUUUCAACUGAUCUGUACCUUGAUGAGUACAAUUUAUAAAUUGUGUUGCUUAUUAGAUGAAUAUUAUGAGCUUGUAUUUUAUAGUUUUCAAUAAUAAGGUAUAAUAAGGUAAGCUGCAUUACUUACUGUUGGAUGCCACUGCUUCAUUAGUUGGUAAGAUUGCAACGCCUACUAGAUUGCUUGCGUUUUCAGUGCUCUUGAAGUGGUAUCAUAGUUUGCUUUGUCAUGUUGGGAGUGCAUUUGCCAAAUAUUUUUCUCUGCUUCCUAAACUAUUCGUUUCUGUUGGAGAAGAAUCUAAAAUGUCUUUGGAAUAUAUGAGACAACAUAUAUUUUUUGGGUAUGAAUGUAAUGCAUCUACAUGCAUUUUGUUUAAAUGUUACUAGUAUUUAUUGAAAGAGCACCUAUAUAUACUACUUGUAUUCAUGACGGUGAUUCAGAUAAUCAGGACCAUAAGAAAGGUGGAAAAAAUACAAUACAAUAGAAAAGAACUAGAAUAUCAGAAGCGGAAGAGAAAGAACUAACGCACAGAAAGCAAAGAAGAAUAAGAACAGGGUGAGGAGACAAGUUACUAAAACUACAGUUUAUAUACACCAAGAUGUGAAUAAGUAAAUUUUCAUCAUUUUACUCAUAGACCUUUGGCCAAAGAAAAUGUCUGCAUUUGUUCGAAGUCACCGCGAGUAAAGUGACGAACUCAAGAAAACAAAUAACAAAAUAAAAGCAACAACUACUGUUUAGCUACAUUAUUAUUACUGAUAUAAGGCAACUUUAGGAUAAUUUGAGAAUCUAAAAUAUUACAAAAGGCGUGGCUUGACUGCUUGAGUCACUCGACAUUCAAAAAGAAGGAAAACAUGAAAGUAAAAAGAAUCAGGUCCAAGAAAAACAACUCUGUUACUCCUCGAAUCUUUCUUAAUUAGAUAAAAUUUUAGUAAGCUUCAUUAGUAGUUAUAAUUAACUAAAAAUAAUAUUGAAGUAUAAGCUUUAACUUAAUCACGGUUAAGAAUUAACCCAAAUGUAUGUUAUUCAUAAGUUUUUUUUAAAAAAAAUCCAUUAUAAGCAUGUUAAUUUAUAAAUUUAAAUACUUACUUUUACGACCGCGCGAAGCGCAGACAAAUUAACUAGUAAAUGAAUUAAGUUGAAUUCAAGGAUAACUUUAGUGGCCAUUAUAUUUGUUGCGGAAAGGGGUUCUUUUUACCAGUUAUUAAAUUGACUUUUAGCAGCAAUAAUAAAAGCUGCAAAAGGUAGGGCCUAAGGAAUUUUUAGUGAGUUUUAGUGUCCAUUAUAAUUGCCAGUAAUAUUUGUUGCUAAAACUAAAGAACUUUUACCGGCCAUAACAACUUCCUUUACCAGCAUUCAGAUAAAUGGCCACUAAAGGCUUUGCCGACGCCGGCUACAACGACUAAUAACUAAUUGCCGGUAAAUAUUUUGGCAGCCAUUUUUAUUUCCGCUAUAAUACAUUUUAAUUGCCACUAAAAGCUUUUUUUGUUGUAGUGAGUGUCAGCCUAUCUCCUCAGCAAACAAUAGCCCUUACGAGCGCGGGGUAUCUAACCUUGGCCUUGUGGCACUCACACAAGGGGAGGUCGGCUAGCUCUCCCUUUAAUGUGAUCACAUUAGUGCAUAAAUAAAUACCGGAACUGAAUACAGCACUAAAUGUAAAUAUCACCAACAAAGGCACAUAAAUACGCAUAAACAUGUAACUCUAUCACAUAUAAAGUCGUAGUGAAUAAGAAUGACGCAAACUGAAUACUGGAUCACAAGGAGACAUGGCUUAGAUUUAUCAAACACAUGGAGCACGUGGGCUCUAAUAAAAUUCCCUACUAAGAGAAUACGCCUUGACUCAACUCAAGACGACAAGCUUAACUUCCACUUCACACCUCUUUCAAGCAAUCCCGGACCCCAAUUUCACAAUCUACAUGAUAAACCAGUUCAACUUACACAAAUACAUGCCUAAAGCUUGCAACUUUAUUCCCAUUAAUUUAGGGACAUUGGUCAAAUCCUCUAAUUUCUGUGUUUUUCCUCAAUUACGUAGGAACAAAACUUAUCCACUUCAUUCUUUUACAAUACAAUGGGUACAAUCCUCCUAAACAACAUUAUCAACAAUACAGUAUAAUACCCAGUCAAAGGUUUCAUCUUUUUAAUAAUUUAAAUCUUCAUUAUCAAUUUCUCCCUGUACUACUCAACCCUAACUCCUGUUUGCAAUUACAAUAACCCAUCUAAAUAAUAGAGUAGACAAUUAAAUAAGAAAGAAGUGAAGAAAACCAGAAGGAAGAAGGAAUUUUUUUUUACCGUGCGUUUGUCAGUGGAAAGAACACAAGUAACCAAAAGGAAAAACUUUGCUGCCUUUAAGCUUCGGCCAAACGAGAACUUUAA